rnacentral:lncRNA from 1 species
GAGUGUUAAAUGAGUACUAAUAACUAAAAGCCUUGAAUUUUUAUUUUCCAUAAAGUAGGACUGGAAUAUUACAAAUAGUCAUGACCAUAUAUGGACAUGACAUAAUUAGUUCAAAGGCCUUUGAUACUUUGAAAUAACACAAAUAACAAAAACCAACUAAGCACACAUGCAUUAGAUACUAGGUAGAGCUAGUAAGGCUGCCUGGCUGUCAAAUUAAUUUAUUUUAAUAUUAUGUACAGUAGUAGUCCAAUUGCUAUAAACUGCUGUAUAUAUAUUUAUUUUGACAGCCUCAUCACCACAGUUUCGGGCAGAUAAACAUUGAGCAGCCAGCAAAGCCAGCUUAAUUAAGCUUGACUGAGUUUUGCCGUCAUUGUUGGCUGAGAACUGAUUUUUUCGAUGGAAGCGUCAGAGGAGUAUCCGAAUUUAUUAUGGUCGCCGCUUUUUUCCACCGAGUUCUCAAGACUUUCUUUGAUUUUAUCCCAAUCAAUAACUUCGUCGACUUUAAUGAUCUCAGUAUAGACCUGCAAUCGAUAGAUAAUUAAUUAUUUCAAAGCUCUAAAUGGUGUGGUUUGGUUUUUUUUUUUUUUUUGUUGAAAAAGCAAAGUAAUUCAGCCAAAAUUCUAAUGGUGUAUUACCACAACAUAUGAAUGAAUUUGAAGUAAAAUAAAAAAUGAGUUAAUUUUGAGAUACUAUUGAAAAUGAAAUUAAUAAACUAUGGGAAUUAAGAUCAAUACCUUGUUAUUAGGCACAUUUUUAGCAUUGCUCCAAGCAAUAAUCCACUUAAACUU